GCCACUAGAGUGAAGGUUGAUCACCCCCGUUAAUUUUGGCGGGCUUUGUGUUGCUAAAUGUAUUUUUAUGCAGACGGUGGUUCUGUGGAUUUGUUUGUCUUUUCGUCGUCUCUCAUUUGUUGACUAUUUGAUUACGGAUUUACCGUUUUGAAUUUUCCUCGGAGUUCAGUAUUUUUGUGGUUUUAUUUUUGCUCUGCGUUGUCAGUUCACAUUGACGUAUGAGCUUUGUAUGAGCCCUUAGUAUCGUCUCGCACCUCUUUUGAAAUAUAAUUUGAUUAAAUUUUUGAAAUUCUAUUUGGUAAAUCAAGUGGACUAUAUUAUCAAAAUUCCAGAAAGUUUGGCGAGCAAAACAUAUACAGAGGAAUUACCUCUAUCAAUCCAAAGCACAUCGUCUUAAAAUUUUGAAGCCAACAGCAAUUAAACUUUGUAC
rnacentral:lncRNA from 1 species